AAAAAAAAAAAAUCUAAAUCCUUUCCAAAUAAUAUGGAGGUAAUUUUUUGUAAACAAAUAAUUUUUUAAAAAAAGUUAUGCAACACAUGUUACUUUUAAUACAUCAAACCAAACAGUCGAUAAGAAAUAAUGCCGACCUAACUAAUUCCAGUAUAAUUAAUCACAACAGUACUUCCCAACCUUAUUAAUAUACCAUAUUCUGUACUAUCCUUGUACACCCUACCAAAUAACUCGUAAAGCUCUUGGUUUUGAACCCUCGGAAAUGGGAAAACUUAUCAAUAAGGGGCAUUUUACCCUUUAGUAGGCUUGCCCUCCGCGAAUACGUGCUAGUCGAACCUACACAGGCCCUAAUUUAGGUGGUGUGUUAAUGGAGUAGUUAAUAUUUCACAGUUAGAAGUCAAUCCAAAAUUAUGAAACAAUCAGUGUUUAGGGCCAUCAAACCUUGGACAUGUGCAUUUUAUUUCGUGGAGAACUAGGUUUCAGAAUAUUUCUAGGAAACAAAACAAUAUUAUUGAUUUUAUCUCCAUGAUUAGCAUAUGGAUCAAUAUACAUAUACGGUACAAGAAAAAGGUAUUUCCAUUUCGCAUCAGAGAAAUACUAUCAGAGAAUAAAAUGAGAGAUUUAAGUGAUGGGUAUAUUUUGAAUCCCAACAAACAAACACAAUCAUUUCUCUUUGGAGAAUAAGGUUUACAAGGGACAAGAUUUGAUGUAAAACCAAUGUACGUUUCCCAUUAAACACCUAACAGGUUAUCAAUCUUUCUUUUCAACUGCUUCCUAUUCACUAGCCUCUAUUUUUAUGGCAAUUACAAUUUUAUACAGGCAUAUACGAGUUAUAAACAGUUUUCUCUACUGGCCAACUGAGUAAGUAAUAGGCUUUUAUUGCUCCAUUCGCCCCGUUUUAUGUGACAUGAUUUGAAGUAUGAGGGUUAAUAAUUAUUUUUUUAUGUAUAUUCGAUCAUAGAAUUUUUUAAAUAAAAUUUACAUAUUUCGAAACUAUAUGAAAAUACUAUAAAUCAUACUAAUAAUUAACAAUUUAAAAUAUUAAUUAGAAAGUAUUUUAAUUCAAAGAAUAACUGUAUCACGUAAAGUGGGACAUAGGAAGUAGUUUUAGCUAGCGUUUGGUCAUAGAUUCCCAAAUUUAUUUUGAAAAAUCUGAUUUGGGUGAAAUUUGGUUUGAAGAUGAAAAUGUGUUUGGACAUCCGUUUUCAAAACAUGUUUCCCAAAUUUAUUUUGGAAAAACAUGUAUAUUAUUAGUCUUUGUAAAUAUUUUGGCCCAAAACUAGCUAUUGAGCUGGUUUUGGGAUUUGAGAUUUUGCCAAAAUAUAAGCAAAAUCUAUGGCCAAACAUGUGUUUACUAAAUAAAACCCAAAUUUAUUUUGGUAAAAUCUAUGGCUAAACGGUCCUUAAUUUGCAUUCAAGCAAAAGAACUUAUUCACAUAUGUGAGUGCGUAAUUUUAAAAGAAGAUUUCAAAGCCAAAGAUCUCCAGGCCAUAGAUUUUGCAAAGUGAUCUCCAAGAAAUUGUACAAAGACUUUAAUAACGUUUUGUAAAUUCAUCAUUCAAGAUCGUAAUAGUAAUAUGUCAUGAAUUACGCAAAAAAGUUAAGGGUAUUCACUGAUUACACAGUUUAUUCAUCUCCUUUUCAGCUUAUACAAUCUGUUAUGCAAUCUACUGAAAAUGUUGGACACAUUGCAAAACCAAAAUCUCCUGAUUGAAGAAUUUCCGAAAUGUAAUGGAUUUUCUCCAAAUACGGCGGAAAGAAAAGAUAGCUAUAGAAAAUGUGAAAUAUUUGAUACAAUAUAUAUCGUUUUUGCAUUGUUUUAAAACAAUAUUGCAGCAUCUGUAUACAAUCGUGUAAAACACCAACUAACUUCUCACAAAAUUAUAAGAGAGCUACAUGGACAUCGAGUUUAUGGGAAAUCAUUCAAAAAAAAGCGAGGAAAAACAAUAUAUUUAUGAAUUAUAGCUUAUUCUUAUGUUGCGUAAUCGAUUAGAUAAGCAACAAAUAUGAAGUUAAAAAAAAAAAUGUAAGACUCCAUAAGAAUGGUUUUAAGAUCUCCAUAAGAAGAAGGAGGGAAAAAAAAGACAAAAUAUCCUUCUUCGUAAGAUUCUAAUUACUACCAAACAAUCAGCCAAGAAGAAGCUAUAAUUUCUAUUAAAAAAAUAGAUCGAUCAAAAAUGGCCUUUGGAAGUACAAAAAUAUAUCAUAGUUCUUGAGGAGAAUUGAUUAAAUGGACCAAUGGAGCACGGUCGGAUUGAUAGCCCUCGAUCUGAGAUAUCUUUUUAACACAAAAAUUGUUAGUUUUGAAUAAAGUUAAAAAAAGAAUGAAAGUAUUAAUUGCAGAAACCUUUCAUUAAGAGAAGUUCAUCGUAUCAUCAAAGAACAAACAUUUAUUUUAUUACAUGGUUAUAGAAAUAUUCAGAAACUCACCAGCUCCUUCAUACAUGCUAUAGUUGCACCAACAUAGUAAUGAUGUAUCACACAAACACAACAAAAAAUAAAAAGGGGAGAUCAGGAAUUCAAAUGAGAUCUCUCAAAACAACACAAAUAUUGAAGCAACGAACUCAUCAUAAUGAUGAUAUCGUGCUUUAAUUUAAUUUCUUCCUAGCUAAAGAUAAAAUUAAACACUCAUCUAUAAAAGUAUAUAUAGAAUAACAUGAAAAAGAAAAAAGGAAAAUAAUUUCUCAAACACUCAUAUAACUUGCACACAUAGAUCUAACGAACAAUAUAAAUUAGUCGGACCAGCAGGCUUCAAUUCCCCGGGAGAGAGAAAGAGAGAGAGAGCGCGUAAAAGAAGAAGAAGAAAGCCAUAGUAUUAUUUAACCUUCUUCACUCAUAGUUUGUAGCUAGCUAGGGUUUCUUCUUCUUCAACGAGCCCAUCUUCAAUCUACAAACGACGUUUUUCUUCUUCUUCUUCUUUUUCUCGAGCCCUUUUUCUCUUUAUUCUCCUUUUAGUUGCGAUCUUUAUGGUCGUUGGCUGGAUUUUCAGAGAGUAAAAGAAAAAGGGUUUAUGAUGAAAGUGAGGGAAUAAUGAUGAUGAUGAUGGGAUAUUCGAGAGGUUAUUAGAGGACAUGAUCAUUACUGCAGGGUGUUUUUUGCUUUGAAUUGAGAAAUUUGAGAGAUAGAGAAAUUUGAAGGAAUAAGGCUUAUGAUUUAACUUCCAAAAUUAUAGCUGCAAAUUCUCAAGAAAGGAAAGUCUUUUCUUCUACAAUCAUGAGAGAGAAAGAGUAAGAAGGUAGAAAGAGAGAAGGAGCUUAUAUUCUUUCUCUUUUCUUGAAGUUAUGCGACUUGUGUUCGGUACCCGUAUUGAAACCUGAUUAUAUUCGGAUUCGCAUCAUAUAGGGUCCCAGUCGGGGGAAGCGCUCCCUAGCAAGAAUUUUUUCAUAACUAGGGCUCGAACCCGAGACUUCUAGUUAAGGGAAUAGCAGUUUCAUCCACUACACCACGUCCUUUGUUGGUAGAAGUUAUGCGACUUUUCUUUUAUUUUAAUCUU
rnacentral:lncRNA from 1 species